AUGGGUUCUAAAUUUUCACUUACAAACCAUAGUAACUUUCACUUGACAACUUAAUUGUUGUUUUUUUAUAUAAAAAUCAAUGUUUUAAUUAAAAAAAACAACAACAAUAAAAUGAGUUGAUUAUAGAGUUUAAAAAAAAUACCACGAACAGCAGCAGAAUUCAGAGCAAAAAGCCUACGAUUGACCCUCUUUGAAAUAGUAAGAUAGGAAUUUGAAAGUCCUUUCGUCAGAUAACGCCAGAUUGUAUAGUGAAGAAUUAAUCAUAAAAUAAAGCACAAAUGUGAGGCAUAGGGUCUACACUGUUUAUUCAAUCUCACUCGCAAGCAUUCAUACAUUUUAAGGGGCCCCUAAUUCACCCACAAUAACUAAUUUUUUUAUUUCUACAGACGUUUAUUUCUGUUAGUUAAUUCCUUGUUUUAAUGUCUAAAUUACAAGCUUUUUUUUUAAACAAACAAAGGCCAUAAAAAAAUCCGACGACAACACCCCCCCCCCCCUCUUCCAGUGUUUACAGCAGCUGUCAUCGCUUUCCCCACAGAAACUGUUUACAUAAAGCGACUCAUCUUAAAUAAUAGAAAUUCUUUUUCUUGCACGUAAAUGGGUUAAUCAGCAUGUGUCUGAAAAAAACUGAAUAUCACCAUAACAAACUAAAAACCAAGUUUUACUACACGUUUGUUUAUGACUUAUCCGCCUAAUUUUUAACAAUAAAUUAGCAGCUAAUGAUAAGCCGUAUCCAUUAGCCCUAUAGCCCCAAGAAAAUAGAAAAUCGUUUAGACCUACUGAUCCGGCUGUCUGAACCUUCAACAACACAACGUUUUUGUAAGGCCAGCAGAAAGUCCAGCUUUGUUCAAACCAAAGAAAUAAGCAUGACGAUAUAGUCACAUCACAGUGGCUGAUAUCACAGAGUGGCUGAAGGCACAAUUUUCUAAGAUGGCUGAUGCAUUCUUGCAAGGAAUUAGCAGAUUUUACUAUGCCGCUACGGACAGUAACGCCACAGGAUUCGUUCCAUGUGAGAGCCACAUCAGUCAUUACAGAUUUUAUCAAUAUUCAAUCAUUCCUGCAGUGGUUUUGAUUCUGCUGUUAGCUGCCACAACUUCUAGACGACAGCGAUUGUUAGAGUUUCUCAACGGCCGACCCGGUCUAUUAUUUCCAAUGGAUACUUUAACUAGAUCAUCAAGAAUUUCCUACGCAUGCGCUUACGGAGCCACAGCAUUUUUGGUCUAUCAAAUCUCCAUUCAACACCAGUUCGCUGUUGACUACGACGGGAUUCUUUCAGUAGAAACUGUGAUGGCCAUCCUCUCAAUGAUUAUCUACGGUCUCGUGUUCUUCCCAUUAUUUGCUUGUCUGGCGUUGGGCACGGCUUUUUCCUUUGGCCUUGGCACCAUCUACGUCUGGAUGUUUUUUGUUGUGGAUCUCUAUCGUCUCUCAGAGUGCAGCUUUACUUUGGCUGGCCGAGCUGUUUUGUUUAUUCGCAUGCUACCAAGCCUCGGUUGUCUGGGCUACCUAAGUGUAGCUCUCCCCAUCCGAUUCGCUUUGGCUAUCUAUCACAAGAAUUACGUCACCACAGACCUGGGCGAGAGGCCACCAGACGAGACCAUGAAGGAAAUUCGCGCCUCCUUCCAGGGGCAACACGUGCGGAAGUUACUGAGGAAACCAGAUCCUGUCAUAGAACCAGUUGGACUUGUAAACGUUAUCGAAAAAAUCAUCAUCAGCAAACUACAGGUCUGGAUAUACCAUAGAGAAAAAGGGUUCCGCUACCCAUCUCGCUUAUUGGCGGUUAUGUUUGUGGCUGCUUGCGUGGUCUAUGUGUUGACAGUUGAGCUGACAGCCUACUUUUUUUCCCUCUUUGGGAACAUCCUGGACGUGCUGACGGCUGAGCUGGAUGCUAUUGGUUGGGACCCCCGUGCUGGGGGAGGACACAGCCACCACCCUCCUCAGAAAAGGUUCUUUAUUCGCCUACUACGCCGCGAGAACCAUCAAAUAUUCCCUAAUCAUCGCACUUAUACUGGCAUGUACACUGAGUUUCUUCACCAUACUUCACAUGAUGUCAUCCUUCAGGACAAAUCUUUACGCACUGUACCGAGGGGACUUCUCAACUAUUCCAGCUCCUGAACAAAUGGGAGCAGUCUCUCUUUGUACUGGUAGCAUGAAAUUUGCUGGAUACCAGGUUGCGUAUUUUGUUUGGGCGUUUGUCGUCAACUUUGCUAUCAUAGCAAUUGUUUGUUUUGCUGUUGGAGCACUUGUGAACCUGUUCAUGUUUAAC